ensembl:snoRNA SNORD57 small nucleolar RNA, C/D box 57
UGUGAAUGAUGAUAUUCCUUUUCCUGACUUUAUUGUGGGGGUACAAACUGAUUUAAUGAGGCUGAUGC